rnacentral:rRNA from 1 species
AACGAACGCUGGCGGCAUGCCUAACACAUGCAAGUCGAACGAAACCUUCGGGUCUAGUUGCGCACCUGUGCGUGACGCGUGGUAACCUACCCUUAGGUUCGGUAUCACUCCCCUUGAGGUGUGCUAAUACCGCAUAAUGUCUUCCGGCCAAGGAUUUAUCGCCUUUGGAUGGGCCCUCGUUGGAUUAGGUAGUUGGUAGUGUAAAAGCCUAGCAAGGCGAGGAUGCAUAGCUGGUCUGAGACGAGGAUCAACCAGGCUGGGAAUGAGACACGGACCAGAAUGCUACGGAAGGGAGCAGAGGAGAAUAUUAGAGAAGGGGCGAAAGCCUGACAAAGCAAUGUCGGGUGAGUGAUGAAGGGGUUAGGGUUCUAAAGCUGUUUUAGCCGAGACGAGAAUGACAGUAAUGGGAGAAGAAGCUCCGGCUAACUACGUG